UUUCCGUAACUGCUGCAGAAAUGACCGCUCGUCAUUUGUGACCAACUCGUGUUAUUCCGGGACAAGCAAGUCUACCCAUAAUUCCCUGUAUGACCGAGGGCGCCAUUUUGGAACACAAAUGUAAACAAACACUUAAACCUCGUGUAAUCGAUGUACACCGUGAUGCUUGAUUGCGAUAUGCUUACCUCGUGUAUCAAUACAUUGUUCUCAAUCACCUCUAACACGGAAAUCCCGGUCGAAAUCCACCUGAGCCAUCCACAACGAGGACGUCAAGUAUUUCGAAAACUCGAUUGGCAGCCGAAGGAAGGAAGAGCAGCUUGCAGAUGCCAGCAUGUUCAGGGUUUGUGGGGAGGUUCACAGACAUCCUCAGGGAGGAUACCAAGUAUUGAAAUGUCCGGAUGAAUAAAAGAGACAGUCAUCUGUGCAGCAUCAAUGCAAAGAAAGACCAUAGAAGAGCAACAGUGAGUGGUAAAUAUUUUGAAAUUCUGUUUGGUUCAUAUGGUUUUUUUGCAAAUAUGUCUUCAGUUUGUUCCUUAUCGCUGUGGGCACGGAUGUCCUAUUAUCUAAGGCACUACAAUUUUCUGUGCAGAGUUGCAUCUCUUGGGCUUAGCAGAAACCUAUAGUCAUGGGUUCAAAUCCUGGUUCUCCCCGAUUAUGUUGCUAGGUUUGUCAGCAUUAUACA